rnacentral:ncRNA from 2 species
AUAUAAUGCUAGGAACAGGCGGCCAUUAUGGCGCAGCCGGGCGGAAAGCAGCAGGUAUGUAUGAAUGCCUGCGGGACCUUA